UUGACCAGAAGUUCUCAUCUGCCUUAAUAGAGUGAGUUUCUUGUAAAAAUAUGCAGUUAGCAUUUGUAUUUUUGCAAAAAAGAAAUAUUGAUUUUCUUUUAAUACCAUCUCUCAGACCCCUAACAUUUAAAGACACACAAUUAAAAUUAGAAAAGGACACAACCAUGACAGAAAAACACCAGAAAAAACAGGAAGGAAAGUGAACCUCUAGUGUUGAAGAAAGGGUGAGAACUGAGCACUAACUCCCUUUAACUGAAUUUAAAACAGAGUAACUGACCUCUAACCAGGAAACAGGAUUAGAACAUAUUUAUCAAAAAGAUUGAUCACUCCUUUGAAUGAUCAGCUAAACCUUAUUAGAUAGCUAUAUGUAUUAUUUUACCAAUUUAAACAAAGGAAAUUAUAGAAAUAAGAGAAAACAACGUUGUUUUUCUUUUAAGCAUAAGCUAGCAUCUAGUGUUCUUGUGCAACAGUGUGUGAUUACUAGACACCACCGUUGGAUCUCCAUCAGUCAGGGAAAACCCGAGCUCCGCUGAUGUAGCCAAUGUGUCCUCGGUAGUAGACAUUUUUCCCUUCAUUUCUGGCUUGCUCCAUUUUGGGCCAAACUGCAGCUCUUGCCUCCCGAUCCUGUUUGCAGAAAUCUUGCUUGAAGUGGAUCCCCAGCUCCUUGCACGUCUUGGACUCUUUGGUGAGUUUCCAGAAGACAUCACGAAGGUGUCGCAUGCUGAACUGAAUGAGUAUUUGGCGAUGUCUUCCGUCUUCCUUUUCCCCAGCCGAUGCGCGAUGUCCACUGCAUUGUCAAUGGACGAGGCCCAGUGUGGUGCAAUCUUGGCUAAGAUGUCGAUGACUUCCUUGCGGUUUAAAGGUUCAUAAAGACGAUGUGAGGAAGAGGAGGGAGAGACGAUUCGCUGCACUGAUGAAGCCACCAGAUGGUGCCAGACUCGCCCUCCUGCAGAAUCCUGCACACCUGAAGCAGCGGUACCUGAGCCUCCUGGAGCUGGACUCUGUCCUCGUUAGCUGUCUUCAGGUGUUUCCCUCCAGACGUCCUGCGUCCUGCUUGUGUCGAUCCAAUCUGGUUUCUGAUCGAGAUCUUCCUCGUGACAAACCCACUGGCUGCCAGAGUUUCCAGACUCAUGUCUGGUUCCUCCACUGGUUCCUCUGUCUCCGACCUGUGCUGGACCACCUGGACCCACAGAGAGACAAAGACCCUGGACAUUUCAGUCAACCUGCCCAGAACUACAAAUCUCAUCUCCACAAGUAAGACCUCCAUCUAACCUGGUACCACUCCCGUCUCCGACGGCUUUGA